rnacentral:tRNA from 1 species
GCCUGGGUGGCUCAGUCGGCCGAGCGUCCGACUUCAGCUCAGGUCAUGAUCUCGCAGUUCGUGGGUUUGAGCCCCGCAUCGGGCU